rnacentral:rRNA from 1 species
AAUUAACGCUGGCGGCACGCCUAACACAUGCAAGUCGCACGAGAAAGCCCGGUUCGCCGGGCGAGUAAAGUGGCGCACGGGUGAGUAACGCGUGGAUAAUCUACCUCUAUCUGGGGGAUAACGCACCGAAAGGUGCGCUAAUACCGCAUAUUCCGGCGAACCCUUGGGUUUGUCGGUAAAGGUGGCCUCUUCUUGAAAGCUACCGGGUGGAGAUGAGUCCGCGUCCCAUUAGCUUGUUGGUAGGGUAAUGGCCUACCAAGGCGACGAUGGGUGGAUGGUCUGAGAGGGCGAUCAGCCACACUGGAACUGGAACACGGUCCAGACUCCUACGGGAGGCAGCAGUGAGGAAUAUUGCGCAAUGGGGGAAACCCUGACGCAGCGAUGCCGCGUGGGUGAAGAAGGCCUUCGGGUCGUAAAGCCCUGUCAAGCGGGAAGAAUAGCGGGGAGACGAAUAAUCUCUUCGUAUGACGGUACCGCUGAAGGAAGCACCGGCUAACUCCGUGCCAGCCGCCGCAGUAAUAC